rnacentral:rRNA from 1 species
AAAUUGAAGAGUUUGAUCAUGGCUCAGAUUGAACGCUGGCGGCAGGCCUAACACAUGCAAGUCGAACGGUAACAGGAAACAGCUUGCUGUUUCGCUGACGAGUGGCGGACGGGUGAGUAAUGUCUGGGAAACUGCCCGAUGGAGGGGGAUAACUACUGGAAACGGUAGCUAAUACCGCAUAACGUCGCAAGACCAAAGAGGGGGACCUUCGGGCCUCUUGCUAUCGGAUGUGCCCAGAUGGGAUUAGCUAGUAGGUGGGGUAACGGCUCACCUAGGCGACGAUCCCUAGCUGGUCUGAG